UAAGUGAGCUAAAAGCUGAACUAAUGAAAAGAGGCGCAUCGCUUAACGGAAGACGGGCAGAAUUAGUCGAAAGAUUGGAACUUUACGACCGGAAUUCCAAUUUUGGAAGUGCAGAGAAUCAGUCCAUUGACGAUGUGAUGGAAGUUCCUCAUGUUAGGACAUAUCGGGACAUAAAUGCUAGUUCAUUGUUACCUCAUGUAACCCAAACUUACAUACGACAGUAAUUUUGCUGUGAUGACAAGAAAUAAGUGAAGCUAAGGCAUUGUGUGAGUCCCGAUACCUACCUUGUUUUAGCAAGAGGAUUUGGAUUCAAAUAUGGGGGAAAAUACCUUUAUUAAAGGAUAUUGCAAAAAACUAUGAAGCAGCUGCAAUAUGAAGUAAAUUUAAAGCUUCACAAAAGUGGAAUAGCACAGGAAUCUAACUGUAAACAAGUUUUUGUUUCUUAUAACUAAACCAAGUUUAG